rnacentral:lncRNA from 1 species
GAUAAUACUAGAAAAGCAUUAUAUAUGCAAGAACAAUCCAUUUACCAUAUUCUUCACUGUGUCAGAACCUAUAGGUGUGCAUCACCUGUGUGAUCAUGAGAAGGCUGAAGAACCAGGAGUGACAAGAUAUCACCGGCUGCUGGGGUGCAGCAUUAAACCCAGAGACAGGUCGGCAAGCAGAGGCAAAACAUACAGAGAAUGAAACCAAGUUCACAUCAGUCAUAAUAAGAUAUUAUGUAAGAAUGAAUGUAUGUGUGAGGCUGUUGGGUAAUAUUUUGCAUGUCUAUGUCUCCAACAGUAAACUGGCUAAUAUUGUUUGUUUGUCUGUGUGUUUUCCCCUCAUGAUCCAGACAUUUUGGAAAUGAAAAGUCUCCUGCCACAAGAUCUUCAGAGCCAGAGCAUCAAAGAUCCAGACGAUUUCUGCCAAUUUGGAGGAGGAUUCAGAUUUUUCUGCUUUUUCUGCUGUGUUGUACCUCUGUUACAGAUUCAUUGACCCUUUGUGGUAUAUUUUCAUUUUACUUAAUAAUACACUGUAUAGUUAGGAUUCUUAAUUAAAAGACUGUAAUGCUUCUCCACAGAUGUUAUCAGAACUACCUUAUACAGAGCCCCCAAGGGUUAGGAGAAUGAAGAAGACCACAACUCCCUCAGCUCAACAACACAAUUUGUUGCUUCCUCCAUCCAUUUCAAAGGUGAAAUCUUGACCUCAUUUUGAUAGAAAUGCUAACAGACACACAUGUUACACACAUUUAGUUUUUCAGUUCCUCCUGGGGGGCUCUAAAGAACUGUUGUGAAUAAUUGGUUGAUAUUGUAAAUUGACAUCUGAAUACAAAAAAUAAAAGGAUUUUAGAAUCAAUAGUGGUGAUUACUUUAUUUGUAGUUAAUUUCCCACGACAUUUUAAUCGAAACAGUGAAAACCUUUAGCUGUAUCUAUUAUGUAUUGCUUUAGUAUGUUUUCAGUUGAGGAUAUUUCACAGUAAUUUUGAAGAUCAUAUUUUGGUGUGUGAUCGUAAUAAUUUAGAAAAAAUCUGUAAAAUAAU